UGGCCACUGCCUGGGCUGGGCCUGCAGGCACUGGCCAUCAGAGGGGUCUGUCUGUCACCUCCCUGCUGCAGAGCCUAAUAGAGCCUGUGUUUCCUCACUCCGGCCCUGGGGGAAGUGAGGCCUGGGAGAAGCCUCGCUUCCCGGAACACCCACCCCAGGCCCCUGGGCCCCUCGGAGCUACCUGCUGCUGUCCUGAUCCACCGAGCCUCCCCUCUGUGGAGGGCUCCUCCAGUAGCUCCUGCCUUCAGCCAACCCACCAGGGCAGCAAGCCAGCGUUGAGCACUGCCCGAAGCCUUGGAAAAUGCGAGCUCAGAGUGGAGGACGAGCCCUCGCCUGCUGGAGGAGAUGGCUUUGGAAGCAGAAUCCACCCCAAACCCAGUUCCAGGCCCGGCAGGAGGGGGUGGGGAGAGGAGGAGGAGGCGCUGAGCAGGGAUGAGGCUUCGGGAAGGAAUGCCCCGCUCCGCUGGAGCCCCCCCAGAGCCCCACUGGGAACUCAUCUCUCUGCCUGGUGACGUCAGGCUGGCCCGAGCACUGCAGCCCGAGUCCAGCUGUUAAUCUCUCCUGAAUUCUGCUGCUAGGCCAGGCUGCCCAGAAGAGGGAGCACUGGGCUGUGCACUUGCCUGGCACUUUUGUCUUGUUCCCAGUGUGCAUUUGCUGGCAGGCUGGCUGGUCCCCACCCCAUUGUUUCAAUGACUGAGGGGCUGAUGCAGGGAAGUCGGGGCAGCGGCAGUGGGGUGAGGGAUCCAUGCAGGGGUGGUGCAGAAUUGGCUGAGAGGCAGGCGACACCACCCAGGAGGCACCCCACUCUCCCUCCCACCUGGAAUCUGUCGAGGGCCCCCUAAGGGCUUUUGGAGCCAGGAAUUCCCCUUUCCCCAACUCUAAUAGUAAUCAGAUGGUGCAAGUGGAAAAUCACAACGCUCAGUGCGCAAAGAAAUUGGCAGCUAUGGUGCUGGUGUGAGUGCUGCUCAGUGGGAAGAUGAGUCAGCCCCCCCACCCCACCUCGAGCCCCUAGGAGUCCUGGAACGGGUUAGUGCCCAGGGCACCCGGCCCAAGGCUGUGAGGGUUGGACCCAAUGGGGUGGCUGUGAGGACAGUGUGGGGUGGCCCUCUCCUGCCCUGGGCCAACUUUCUCACGGUCCAGGGAGCCCAAUGGAAUCCUGAGCUUUCCCUGCAGGAACAAAUGGUACCCAGACUGGGGGAGGUGUGCCUCCAUGGGCACCUUGAAGAGACCCCCUGCCACUCCCCUGGAAACUCUACGCCUCUUCCUUGUCCAGCCCAAGUGUAAACCUUGGCAGGAGGGAGUUUCUCAGAUCAUUCCCUGUACAACCCAGCCCAGCUGCCUCCUGGGGUCUUUUUUGGGGGGAGGUCAGAGGGUUCUGAGAUGCUGGAGGCUCAUGGGCCACACCCGAGGCUGAGAGAGAGGCUGGCAGGCAGCAGGCAGGGUGAUGACCCGUUCCCUCCUUUCCCAGGACAGCCAGCUGGGGCCCAGCUGGGCCGCUUGUUUACAUGGGAGGCCGGGGGAGGCCGAAUGCAGACAAGUUCCAAGUGUAAUUGCGUUUGGACACUUAAAAGGAAUUGUGUGAAGUGGGCAGAGGCUCUGAGGUCCACCGCCUUAUUUGGUAUGGAAAUUUGUUUCUCUCAAAGUAAGUGAGAGGUGCUUGGUAUGGGAAGCUCGCUCUCUGCCUGAGUUUGAGGAGUCCCACUGCUGAUGUCUUGGUCUGUUGGGGCUGCUGUAACACAACAGCACAGAUUGGGGGCCUCUAAACAACAUUCUCACUGUCCUGGAGGCUGGAAGUCCAGGAUCAAGGCACGGACAGAUCUAGUGUCUGGUGAGGACCUGAUUCUUGGUUCAGAGACAGCUAACUUCUUGCUGUGUUCUCAGAAGGGGCAGGGAGCUGGCUGGGGCUCUUAUAUAAAGGACACUAAUCCCAUUCAGGAGAACACCACCCUCAUGACCUGAUCACCUCUCAAAGGACCCAGCUCUCUCAUACCAGGGAUUAGGUUUGCAAGUUGGAAUUCCCAGGUCCUCUCCUAAGGGUCCGGGUCCGGACCUUCCUCUGCUGGGAGGCCUGAGAGGAAGAGACCAGUUCUGGGCAGAGAUCUCUCUCCGCCAGGUCUGCCUGUGGGCCGUACGUGCAUUACUGCUCCCUUGAUGAUGGGACCAUUGUGGACCAGACCUCCGGGACUCUUCUGCAGCCAGCAAGGCAGCAGGGCCCUCUGACACCAUCCUUGCACACUACAAGUAUUUACUGAGCACCUGCUGGGUGCCAGGCACUGUGCUCCAUGCUGAUGAACAGGACAGAGAAUAUCAGAGUGAGCAGUCGGAGAGUGAUGUGAGGAAGGGGCCCCAAGCCAAGGAAUGCAGGCAGCUUCUAGAAACUGGAAAAGACAAGGAAAUGGAUAGUCCCUUAGAGUCUCCAGAAGGAGCCAGCCCUGCUGACAUCUUGAUUUUAGCUUCUGAUCUGUAGAACUGGUAAGUGAAUAUAUUUGUAUUGUUCUGAGCCACUAAGUUGGUGGUGGUUUGUUAUCGCAGCAAAAGGAAACUGAUGUAUGAGGGGUGGAGGGAUGGGUACCAGGCCAGUUUAGCAAGGGUGGGUGAGAAGCUCUUUCCACAGAGACAGUGCUUGAACUGAGAGCUGAAGAUGGAGAAUGAGAAGGCAGCUGUCCACUGAGUCCUCAGGGAAGCACUCCAGGAUCCAGAACAGCAUGUGCAAAGUCCCUGAGGUGAGAAAGGCAUGGCUAAAGAGCAGGAGAGGAGGACAAAUGCCAGGUGCAGAGCUGCCUCUCCAAAGCCUGAGGUCAGAGUGCUCCUGUGUCCCUCCUCUCUAGUUUGCGGCUCUCUGCCCACUGGACAAUGCCCCACCUCCCUGAUGCCCGGAUAUUACUCAAUAGUGCCCACUUCUCCCCCUUCCCCUGGCCUCUGCCCUGUGCAGGCCUCUGGCACUCCCACCAAGACCCCUGCUGGAGCCUGAGCUCCACUGCAGCUCCUUCCUUAGUGUGGGCGUCCACCGUGUGCACCCCCCCACCCUG